rnacentral:rRNA from 1 species
UACGUAGGGCGCAAGCGUUGUCCGGAAUUAUUGGGCGUAAAGAGCUCGUAGGCGGUCUGUCGCGUCCGUUGUGAAAACUCGAGGCUCAACCGCGGGCCUGCAGCCGAUACGGGCAGGCUAGAGUUCGGUAGGGGAGACUGGAAUUCCUGGUGUAGCGGUGAAAUGCGCAGAUAUCAGGAGGAACACCGAUGGCGAAGGCAGGUCUCUGGGCCGAUACUGACGCUGAGGAGCGAAAGCGUGGGGAGCGAGCAGG